rnacentral:lncRNA from 1 species
GGAGAGAGAACGGCUACUUUCUUUAAAAGAAAUAAUUCGCACUAUAACAAAAAUGGUAUAUAGCGACACUUUUAAAUAUAGGUAUAAAUUAAAAAAAGUGCUGCUGACUAAAUUACCGACACUUUUAAAAAGUGCUGCUAUAUGUGGGAUCGCUAGAUAUAUAGUGACAGUUUAAGAGUGUCUAUAUAAUCUAAAAAGAAUGCCGCUAAUUUACCAACACUUAUUUAAGUAUUUAACAAUCGCUGGAACUCUAUCUCGUUGGCUGCAGUGGCAGAGGAGGAGGAGAACAAAUGGCUUUUUGUCUAGGAUUUCAAUGGAUUGAUUGAGAGGAGAAGGGGAGAUGGUUAUCGAUUUUUCUUUUUUGUUUCCUUUUCUGUUUGUAAUCGGACCGAACGGGCUGGAUAGGGUGGGUUGAAUAGAGUAACCUUUUAUUUUUUGUUGGAUUGGACUUUAUAUUUUGUCACGCCCCGGAUUACUCGUUUCCCGGGCACGUCGACAAAUCGGCCGUAUACAAAGAAAUUUUUUCUGUAUAUGAAACGAUAGUUGUACCUGUAAAACAUACAAUACUACAAACAGUAGUAUAGAGCUGCUAGAAGAACCAGUAAUAAAAACAAACCGAAUUCCAUAUACAUACGCCAAAUCCAAGAUACAAAACUACUCGCACUGGCGAGUUAAAUAUAUGUAUGUAGAUGAACUCCAACCAAAAACAACU